rnacentral:rRNA from 1 species
CACGGAGGGUGCGAGCGUUAUCCGGAAUUACUGGGUUUAAAGGGUGCGUAGGCGGCUAUGUAAGUCAGGAGUGAAAGUUUGCGGCUCAACCGUAAAAUUGCUUUUGAUACUGCAUGGCUAGAAUUAGGAUGAGGUCAGCGGAAUGUGGCAUGUAGCGGUGAAAUGCAUAGAUAUGCCAUAGAACACCAAUUGCGAAGGCAGCUGGCUAGACCUGGAUUGACGCUGAGGCACGAAAGCGUGGGGAGCGAACAGG